UUGAAAUUAUUGAAUUCUUCUAUAUAAUGUUAAAUUAUAGAGUACUUGUAAAAAUUAUUAAAAUACAUGUGCUUCAUUGAGUCAAUUCAGUCCUGUGAUUGAGAAUUUGAAUUCUAGUAUGGGUUGUUGAACCAUGCAUGAAGUAUAGUGCUGUUCAAUUUCAAUAAAUAAAAGUGCUUUGAAGUUUGAACCUUGUGAUGUCUGUCAAUACUUGACAAGUUGACAUCUCACGUGUCGAUGUUUGUACCUGGUGACAUCUCAAGUGCCCAUUUUUAUUCCACCCUUUGAGCCUAAAAAACAAACUUGUAGGUUUUGUGGCCCUUAACUAUAUGCUCCAUCGGUCUAGGAUAAUUCCCUGCCCUAGAACUUACCUCAUGAUUGUUGUCAAACCUAAAUAUGACAUUUCAUACCUGCGGCAACUUGCUUGAGUGAACUAUUAUGUCUGCUUUUUGAAACUUUUAUAUUGCGCCGCUUUAUCUUUAACUAAUUGUUGGAACUCACAGGCCCACAUGAACAAUGUCUGGAGACGAGGUUCCCUUGCUUUGCAACUAUGGUGGACAUUUUGCGAAUGAGACAGGUAGAAUCAUCUACAAUGGCAGUAGUACCCGAGGUACUAUGUUACCUGUGACAUUAGUUAUUCCAGUCUUCUAUCGAAAAUGCGCGAGGUCAGCAUGUCAGGACCUCCGCAUACUGGCAUUGACAUCAAGUAUAGGUAUCCUGGCAUAGAUUUCGACUCAUCCCUUGUCGAAAUUAAGAGUGAUGACGAUGUCCGUAUGAUGAUGGAUGUGUUUCCCCGAUAUUGCAAUGCCAUUGCUAUUUAUAUCAUCAAACAUGAAAUACAUCCAAUCAACACAUCUACUAUUAGGCACUAUAUCUCGGGUACUUCAAGGGGGGUCCACAAAAGUGGGUUGGAUAGCAGAAACACAAGAAUUGGGAACAACCAAUCAUCAGUCCCCAUUACUACAAACUCACCCCAAUCAUCUGCCGCAGAUAGGAGGGAUACAUAAUGAUCAGAGAGCAACAACUUUCUGAUGUUCCCAGUAUUACAAACACACAGAAUGUGUCUGAAAGCCUUUCCGACUCUCCGAAUAUAGAUUGGAGCCAGAUGGUGAAGAUGCGGGAUUGUCCAUUAGAUCCAUGGAUGAUGCAUCACCAUCAAAUUUUGGUUGUAAAGAUUUUACUAAAGAGAUUGGUACUUGUGAAAAGGCCUUGUUACAUUGAAGGAUUUGAGAGGAAAUGAGGGUACCUUAGAUUGUGGUCCAAGGCCCACUGAUAGCCUUGCAUUGAAGACGCAAGUAGGGUUUGAAGAGAGUGAUGAUGAGUCAUCACAUAGGUUGAAGGUAGGCCAAAUAUUCGUAGAUGGCAAGGAUUUUAAUAAAGCAUUGUGUGAGUUUGCUAUGUACUCAACUUUUGAAUAUAAGGAACCUCUAAGAACACGAGUACUGCGAAAUGUAUCAAUCCAGCUUGCCCUUGGCGCAUACAUGCAUCAGCCUACAUUCAAGAUUAAAACAUAUAAUCCAGUUCAUACUUGUAAUGAAAUGUAGUUCUUCACAUAGACAGGCGAGUAUUGCAUGGAUAGCUAGUGUUAUGUGCACACCAAUUUAUAUUAUACCCCAAAGGAAAUUGUGAGAGACAUUAAACGGCAAUACAAUGUCAAUGUAAGCUAUGUGAAAGCAUGGAGAGCCAAACAGGAUGCAAUGGGUGCUAUCCGUGGAUCUUACAAAGAAUCAUUUAAGGCUCUUCCAGGUUAUUGUAAAGAGAUGGAGAGAACAAAUCCAGGAAGUGUUACAGAACUGAUAUGUGAUGGGGACAGUGUAUUCUUGAGUUUAUAUUGGGCAUUCAGUGCAUCAAUUAGAGGAUUCUUGAAUGCAUGUCGUCCAUUUUUAGAAGUUGAUGGGGCUCAACUUACUGGGAGGUGCUCAGGUGUGUUUCUUUGUGCCACAGCUGUGGAUGCAAACAAUGAGUCAUUUCAUGUAGCUUUUGCUAUUGUAGAAUCUGAGAGCAACGCAUAUUGGACAUGAUUUCUAACUGUGUUAAGGCGGACAUUGGGGGAAAUACCAAGAUUGACAAUUAUUUUGAAUAGGGAAAAUGGCUUACAAAGUGCAGUAAAGGAGGUGUUCCCAGAGGCACUCCAUGGAUUUUGCAUGGCACGCCCCUCUGAAAGCUUUUAUAAGUUGUUUAGGAACGACAUGUUAUGAAAACACUUUUGGAAAGCUGCUCUGGCGUGCACAAGACAAGAAUUCGAGCUCCACAUGAGCACCAUUGAGGGCAUAUCCAAGGAGGCUGUUGCUUGGAUGAAUAGCAUCCGAACUGAAAAUUGGGAGAUCGAUACAACAUUCUUACUUCUAACAUUGCUGAAAGCUUCAACAAUUGGCUAAAUGAGGCUAGAGACUCGCCUAUUAUCUCCUUGGUAGAAUGCAUACACAUAAAGAUGAUGGAGUUGUUUAACCAGCGACGUGAUGAUGGGGGGAAGUGGACUGGCAUGCUUACACCAUUUGCUGAAAAAUACUUGGCUAAAAUGGUAGAGCCUUCACGUCAACAUAAUGUGCACCCUUGUCGACUGACUGAAUUUGAGAUUGUAUCCAAUGAGCAAACUUUUUUUGUGGACCUUGGCCAACUAACGUGUUCAUGCCGCCAGUGGGAAGUCCAAGGACUGCCAUGUUCACAUGCUAUGGCGGCCAUUCAUAAUAAAAAAUAUAACGCAUGUAAUUUUUGUCAGGGUUGGUUUUAUGUUGCCAAAUAUCAAGCAACAUAUUUGGAGGCAAUAGACCAAUACUUUACGCCAGCAAAUGAGAAGGUGAUGAAAGCCUAUCUAUUGAGGCUCCACCCACCAAAAAAAGACCUGGUCGAUCACGGAAAAACAAAAUUUGUUCGGAACCUUCAAAACCUCACCUCUGGUCAAUUGCAGUAACUGUAAACAAAUUGGUCAUAAUAAUAGGAGGAGUUGCAGAGGUCCAUUGCCUGUGCAAUUCAAAGUUAA